rnacentral:lncRNA from 1 species
AUUUUCUUUGUCUCAAGCCUGCUUAUCACCAAAACAUACUCAUAAAAGCACUUAACUGAUUAUGAAAAUUAAUAUCUGAGGAAUUUUACCUGAAAUCAUAUUCAUUGCUUAUACUGUUUGUUAAAAUAGAAAUUAAAUUAUUUAUUUAUAUUUAAAUUAGGAUAGGUGAAUAUAACUAACAAAACCAAAUCUUGAGGUUUUGAUACACUCAAGGAUUAUCUCUUACUAUGUCAUCAUCUAAUUCAAGUUAGUGUUGGUGGUAGUAGGGCAAGUAUUGGGAGCCUUUGCUUUCUUCAGCCAUUCAGGAAUCCUGGCUUCUUCCACUGAGCAGUUUUGGUGUCAAGGAAGGCCUUGGAGUUCCCAGUGGAUCCUCUGCAUCUGGCCUAUAAACAGGAGAGGAGAAGGUGGAAGAUUGCAUUGAAGAGUGUUGCUUUAUUUCAGACCUGGAAGUGUUAGCCAUCACUCCUGACCACUUGUCCUUGGCCAUAAUUUAAGCACAUGGUUCCACUGAACUUGAGGGAGCCUGGGAGAUAUAAUCUAGUCCUGUGCCCUGGAAGAAAAGGAAACAGGGUUGAAACAUAUAGCACUAUUUCUGCCAGGGUUUAAACAUGGAGCAUUGAUUUAAAAUGAUCUGAGCAUUUGAAAUCCCUUAAAAUUUUCCAACUUAACAUAAUAAAUUCAAUAGAUCAAAUGAAAAAUAAAUGGCCAAAAACAUAACAAAAGGAAGGCAUAUAAAUUAAUUGGCCUUUUUCGAAGCAGCUAUAUUUAAAGAAAUGGCUAUCCAAAGACAGUCCAAACAAAAAUGAAGGGUGUCUCAACUCUUAAACUAAAUAUGAUAGUGGAAAGAGGUAGAUACAUCAGUAUUGCCAUUAACUGGACCUGCAUCCUUGAGUGAUUCAUAUAAUUGCUCUAAGGCUUGAUUGCAUCCUCUGAAAAAUUGAAAUAAUAUUCAUAAUUGUUUUCUUUCUUACUUUGAAGCAAACAAAAUCAUAUAUAUGAGGGGAUUUAUAAAAUAUUAAUUGCUAAACAAAUUUUAUUUCAAGCUACUUGUGUUAAGGAAAAAUUACCUCCAUGACUGUUCCUGUUAUUCACCUAUGACUCAUGAAUUUUCAGUUGGCAUAGAGUAGCAGAGGAAAAUCUUUCAAAUAUUGUAAAAUCUAGGUUUAUCUGAGGUAACCUUUGCUGCUUGUAAGAAGUAUGUGGCUGAGUAAUAGUGCAAAAAUAGCAAGUUAUUUUGAGAAAGAACAUAUGUUCUUCAACAAAUAAGUGUUCUGAAGAAUAAUUUUAUAGUGUAUUUAAUCACAUCUAUAAUAAUUUGAAUCCUGUAGUUUAGAGCACUCUGUCCUCUGACAUGAAUUUUGAAGUGCUUUAUUAAGUGCAGUAAUACCAAGGCGAGCACUAUUACGUAGAGUUGCAUUUUAUGAGUAGCUCUUAUCAACCUCUGUGAGGGAAACUAUGCUCUGAAUAAUCAAAAGUGAAAAACACAAAGUAAACUGUUUAUAUACUUAAUGUGUGUUUUGCAAAAUUAUGAAUGUUUGCUUACACACACACACACACACAUAAAUGGUAGGUGUGAUUAAAAGAGGCUUGUUUCAUAAGUCAAACAAAUAAACAAGCAGGCCUCUCUUUGCUUUAUAAUGACCUGCUGAUGCAUGUCUACCAGGAGUUUGUCAGGGUUCAUUCAACAGACAUUUGAAAACUAAAUUGUAGGGAUUAAAGUAAGUGUUUUCAGGAUAUUAACAAAAAGUAGCCAUAACUUUCUUCAGGGGGCUAACCAAUUUGCAGAUAUUGUAUACAGAAAAAAAAAUGUCAUCAAAGCCAGUAUUUUGUAAGGAGUCAGGAGGCAGGUUAUUAGUGGCAUAAAAGUAGCCCUAUGAGAUUCCUUUCAGAUUGGAGAACAGGGAAAGAUGUCAUGAAGGAGCUACUUUGCAUUGGUUCUUGGAAGAUGGAUAGAAUUUAGCUGUGAGACAGGCAUAAGUGGUUCUUUAGGCAGGGAACAUGGCAUGAGCAAGACAUGGGGAUGAGAGGGGAGCCAUUGGCUAUGACUUAGGGGAUUGAUUUGGCUGGAGAUUUAGAUCCAUAAAAGAAUUUAGGGAAAUUAUUCAACUGGGAACAGAUUGUGGCCAUAACAGAAAGCCUUAAAAGCCAGGCAACUUUAAGGACAACUUUGAUGAGACAUUGAUGAGUUUCUACAAUGAGGUGAAAUGAUUAAGAGAGCUUUGAAAGCAAUACUGAAACAUCUUAAUUGCUAAGGUGCAUUUAUAAUUAUACUUGGGGGCUCAGAAACCUUGCCAUCUUAGCAAACCAAGGGCUUUUCUUUUCUUAAUAACUUGGAGGGCUUUUUUUUUUUUUUCUUUUGCCCCAGAUUUUUAGAUUUUUUUUUUCUUACCACUGUGUUGCCUCCAAGAUUAUUAUGCAAUGCCCCCUAUUGUAGGGUCCCUGUAUAAAAAUAGCAAUGUGUUACUUAGUAAGCAGAAAGUAACAUUGAUUCUGAUGGCAUGGAAAUUAGGGUGCUAGGUGAAGUGAGGCACACACAAAAAUAUAAAAUAUGAUGUUAUAACAACACUGCAUUGCAUUUGGGAAUAGCAAAAAAAAGUAUAGAAAGUAAGUUCUAUAGGAGUUCAGAAUCGUGAUUAGAUAUCAGAGAAGAUAGGUAGGAGAAUUCCAAGGGCUCUUAACCCCCAGACUGAGUGAUGAAAUUCAUGGUAUAUCAUCAGAGAGCUUCAAGUAAAUCAGACAACCAAUGACAAGCCAUUCAUAUUUUUCCAACCAGUGUCCUUCUCUUUUACUGGUCUAAGAUGAUCUGUUGCCAUUAGUAAUGGGAGUGAUAGUGAUGAUUUUGGAACUUGAUCUUCUUAAAAGUAUUUUUAAGUCAGCUAAUAGAAAUUUAAGUUAGCAGCUUUGUGGUUUUUUAUAGCAGAUAAUGGCAGAAUGUUUAAGAAUGCAGGAUGCAUGUGUUCUCUCUUUCUUAAAAUAUGUCCUAUUUUCCCUUUCUACUUCCAUUCCUCACUCAUUUUGAAGAGGAUUUUAAGUCUCUUUAAAAUAUGUAAACAUAACAAUACAGAAGCCAAAAUAUGGGGAAAUAAGAGCUAAUAAAAAAUAAGGAAAGAAAAAAGGUGGAUGAAUUAUUUAAGAUGAGGUUGUGCAUAAAUUCCAGUUGCUAAGGUUGUAACCAUUUUCUAUAAAUAAAGGGCCGGCAUAGCUGUCUCUGAGUUUUCUAGCAGCCACGAAAACAGGGAAAACCAUAGGUUUAUAUGAUCGAUACUGUCUGCAGUGUAAGAACAAGCCACCUUCUCAGGAGGAGCACCACUCUUUCUAAUUCCGAUGAUGGGGAGAAAUCUCUGUAACAGGUCCUCCAAGAGAAGCUCCACAGAAUGUAGUAAAUCAUGAACUCCUCAAAAACAUCCUUACGAGUAAAUAGGACAAAGCUUAUCUUAUGACUUUUAAAAGUAUGCUUUUAUAGUGGUUUUGGCUAAUUCUUUAAUGCUAAAUAGCAUUUGGGAAAACACAUCUAUAAAGGCCAAAAGAUGAAUACCAGGCACAAAGUAUAAGCAUGAUUUUGAGCCAGGGCAAUAAGAGAGUGGUUUGCUGACCAGCAGUUUCAGCAUCACCUGGGGAUUGUUAGAUAUGCAGGCUCUCAGACCCCCGUCUCAGACCUACUGAAUCCAAAUCUUCAGGGCGUUGUUGAGGAACACUGACUUCAAGUAUCGAAGAUGACUUAUUGUACAUUUAGAUAAUCUUUUAUAGAUCAAAGGGUACAAGCUUUCAGCUAUAAGAUGAAUAAGUUCUGGAUCAAAUGUGACUACAGUUAAUAAUAAUGUAGUAUAUACUUUAAAUUUGCUAAGAAAGUAUAUAUCAAAUGUUCUCACCACACACAUACAAAACAGUGCCUAUGGGAGGUGAUGGAUAUGUUCAUUAAUUUGAUCGUGGUACUUAUUUUACAGUUUGUAUAUAUAUCAAACCACCAUGUGGCACACCUUAAAUAUAUACAAUUUUUUAUUUGUCAAAAAUAAAUUUAAAAAAUGUAAAAAUAUAUAUAAAACAAAAAUAAAUGAAUAAAUAAAUACAUAAAUAAAAUUUAAAACUCAUAACUGAGUUUUAUCUAGUCUUUAUAUACAAGUGGAUUUGGAGGUUGUUUCCUCGACAAAGUACAUGAUAUAAAAAUAUAUUAUUUUACUGAUUAAGGGUAGAUCUUAUGUUUUUGUUGUCAUCCAAGCAGGGGGAAAUAUUUUAGACAUUUAGAUAAUUUGGAUGUUGCCUAAUAUGUGUGAGGAGCUAUGUUUAAGUACUUUGGGAUUGUAAAGAUGAACAAGACAUGGUAGCUGUUUCUAAGAAGCAAUUUAGCAGAGAGACUUGGUUGUAAACAAGCUUACUGAAUGAAACAAUCACAAGUUACAAACAAUGUGCUGUGAUAAUUAUUCCUGUUCUGCAGAUUUUUACAGAUGAGGAAACCUUGGCUCAGAGAAAUAACUUGUCUUAGCUCAAUAACUCAAGAUCUGUGUGAUCUUUACACUUUUAAAAUACAGCUUCUUAAAGAAAAGGAAAAAGAAAAGAAGGAAAAGCCAUUUUAUUUAUUUGUUUGUUUGUUUUUGCUUUUUAGGGCCACCUGUGGCAUAUGGAAGUUCCCAGGCUAGGUGUCGAAUUGGAGCUAUAGCUGCCGGCCUACACCGCAGCCACAGCAAUGAGGGAUCCCAGCCGGGUCUACGACCUACAGCACAGCUCAGGGCAAUGCUGGACCCCUGACCCCCUGAGCGAGGCCAGGGAUCGAACCCUCAUCCUCAUGGAUACUAUUCGGAUUCGUUUUCACUGAGCCACAACAGGAACUCCUGGGAAAGUCAUUUUAAAAAUAAGUGAGAAAAAUAGUCUUACAAAACAGUAGACUUCUCCAUUCAACUUCAUUGUUCAGACAAUGUAAUAAUUUUGAUUCACAUCUUUAAGAGCAAGUGCUGUUUUUAGUUAAUGUAAACUGAAAUGAAUCCUGAUGUUUUCCUCAGGAAAUAUUUAAGUAGGAAUUAAAAUUCUGCCAAAAUAGAGUGUCAUUAUUGCAAGUUUUUUCCCCUGAAAUAAACACAAGAUUUUAUUGAUUUAUGAAGACAAGCUAUUUUUAUUCAGGAGUGCCAUGUGAGAUUUAGUGGAUUGAAGUAUUUAGCAAAUAGUAGGUCCUGAAUAAAUAUUGCCUGAAUAAAAAAAAAGAAUAUUUACCCUUAAAAUCACCUUUGAGCCCAAUUUUACCUAGCAAAUGAAUCAAAGGGAUAUAUUCAGAAUUUUAAGAAUCUUACUUCUUGGAGUUCCUGGGUGGCUCAGUGGGUUAAGGAUUUGACAUUGGUAUUGCUGUGGCACAGGUUCCAUUUUGGCCAGGAACUUACAGGUGCUGCAGGGGUAUUAAAACAAAAACAAAAACAAAAAACAAAAACAAAUAAACAAAAAAAACUAAAAAUCCUACCUUCUUUGGAAGUAUUUCACAGUUCAAUAAUACUUUUUACCAAAUAUGAGCUCCCACCUCUAAGCAGUUUAUACUUCAGUUGACAUUGGCUGUAAUUAUUCCCAUACACACAUACUGAUGUGUGUAUUUCCACUGUAAUGUAAGACUUUUGGAGAUAGUCAUAUUUUUUUUCCCUGCAUAGAGUAUAGUUAGCACCCAUGAGGGGUUUAGUAAAUAUUUGAAUGAACAAUGAAUGAUGAUCACUACAAUAAUUUUAAGUCAAAUCUAGUCUAGCAGCCUAUGCCUUUAAUCACUUCCUUUUAAACCUGGUCAAAGCCUUGAUAAUCAAAAGUGUUCUUUGACAAUAUUUUUGAGUACUUACAAUAUUGCUGUUGAGAAAGCUGGCAUUUUCUGGGUGCUUAUUCUUUUCCAGGAACUUUUUUUAGAGCUUUUAAAAAAAACAUCGUUAACUCAUUUAGUCAACACAAUAAUCUUAGGAGAAAACCUUAGUUUCUCUACUUUGGGGAUAAGAAAACUGAAAUUUAUAAGGAAUUAACAAUUUAUGCAAAGUCAUGGAGCUAGUAAGUGUUGGAAGCUGGGAUUUAGAUUUGCUUUUAAAGCUCUGCUUACAGUACAAGAGUAGGAGUAAAUGAAUGACUAGGAGGUAAUGAAUGACCAGUCCAUUUAUUCUCACAGAGCAUAAAUAUAUAAAGAAGGCUGAUUCGGGACAUUGUAGUCCUCUCUUCCUGGAAAUUGACUUUGGCUAGGCUUCUGCUUGGGAAGUCAUCCAGAGCUGAAUCAACAGCUGUGUACAAAGAAGCUAAGAGUUAGUCUGUUAAAUCAACUGAACCAGCCCUAGGAUGGGUACUUUAUGGCUCUAAAACAUAAGUGGACAUGUUAGACAACUUUAUAGCUAUUUCUAUCCUAACAAAAUGUAUUCUAUUGGAAACCCUACUCCUCUUCUCCAAAGCUGGCAUUGCCAUUCUCUCCUGUUCACUUAGGAAUGGAUUCUGAAGGAUCACAAUAUAUGCAUCACAGUCCAGUCCACUGGGCCCGUAUAUCACAGAGUAAUCACCCAAGUUCAGGAACCAUCAGGCUGUAACUACAUGGGACUAAUAGAAAGGAUUUUCAUCUUCAUUUCUGCUAUAAAAUAAAGUUUACCUUCUGCAUCUAAGAUGCAAUAGAG